rnacentral:rRNA from 1 species
AUACGAAAGGGGCAAGCGUUGUUCGGAAUUACUGGGCGUAAAGCGCACGUAGGCGGCAUUGUAAGUUGGGGGUGAAAUCCCGGAGCUUAACUCCGGAACUGCCUCCAAAACUACAAAGCUAGAGGAUGUGAGAGGAUAGUGGAAUUCCGAGUGUAGAGGUGAAAUUCGUAGAUAUUCGGAAGAACACCAGUGGCGAAGGCGACUGUCUGGCACAUUUCUGACGCUGAGGUGCGAAAGCGUGGGGAGCAAACAGGAUUAGAUACCCCGGUAGUCC